ACAGCUGGAUAGCUCAGUUGGCUACAGCAUGGUGCUGAUAACGCCAAGGCUGGUGGUUCGAUCCCCGUAAGGGACAGCUGCA